rnacentral:rRNA from 1 species
UACACUCCUGCGGGAGGCAGCAGUGGGGAAUUUUGGACAAUGGGCGAAAGCCUGAUCCAGCCAUGCCGCGUGCAGGAUGAAGGCCUUCGGGUUGUAAACUGCUUUUGUACGGAACGAAACGGCCUUUUCUAAUAAAGAGGGCUAAUGACGGUACCGUAAGAAUAAGCACCGGCUAACUACGUGCCAGCAGCCGCGGUAAUACGUAGGGUGCAAGCGUUAAUCGGAAUUACUGGGCGUAAAGCGUGCGCAGGCGGUUAUGUAAGACAGUUGUGAAAUCCCCGGGCUCAACCUGGGAACUGCAUCUGUGACUGCAUAGCUAGAGUACGGUAGAGGGGUAUGGAAUUCCGCGUGUAGCAGUGAAAUGCGUAGAUAUGCGGAGGAACACCGAUGGCGAAGGCAAUCCCCUGGACCUGUACUGACGCUCAUGCACGAAAGCGUGGGGAGCAAACAGGAUUAGAUACCCGAGUAGUCCC